rnacentral:rRNA from 1 species
CUACGGGGUGCUGCAGUGGGGAAUAUUGGGCAAUGGGCGAAAGCCUGACCCAGCCAUGCCGCGUGAGUGAUGAAGGCCCUAGGGUUGUAAAGCUCUUUCAAUGGUGAAGAUAAUGACGGUAACCAUAGAAGAAGCCCCGGCUAACUUCGUGCCAGCAGCCGCGGUAAUACGAAGGGGGCAAGCGUUGUUCGGAUUUACUGGGCGUAAAGCGCAUGUAGGCGGUUUGUUAAGUUAGAUGUGAAAGCCCAGGGCUCAACCCUGGAACUGCAUUUAAUACUGGCAGACUUGAGUAUAGGAGAGGAGAACGGAAUUUCCAGUGUAGAGGUGAAAUUCGUAGAUAUUGGAAAGAACACCAGUGGCGAAGGCGGUUCUCUGGCCUAAUACUGACGCUGAGAUGCGAAAGCGUGGGGAGCAAACAGGAUUAGAUACCCUAGUAGUC